rnacentral:rRNA from 1 species
AUUGAACGCUGGCGGCAGGCUUAACACAUGCAAGUCGAGCGGGGUGAUGGUGCUUGCACUAUCACUUAGCGGCGGACGGGUGAGUAAUGCUUAGGAAUCUGCCUAUUAGUGGGGGACAACAUCUCGAAAGGGAUGCUAAUACCGCAUACGUCCUACGGGAGAAAGCAGGGGAUCACUUGUGACCUUGCGCUAAUAGAUGAGCCUAAGUCGGAUUAGCUAGUUGGUGGGGUAAAGGCCUACCAAGGCGACGAUCUGUAGCGGGUCUGAGAGGAUGGUCCGCCAAACUGGGACUGAGACACGGUGCAGACGCCUACGGGAGGCAGCAGUGGGGAAUGUGGGACAAUGGGGGGAACCCUGAUCCAGCCAUGCCGCGUGUGUGAAGAAGGCCUUAUGGUUGUAAAGCACUUUAAGCGAGGAGGAGGCUCUUUUGGUUAAUACCCAAGAUGAGUGGACGUUACUCGCAGAAUAAGCACCGGCUAACUCUGUGCCAGCAGCCGCCGUAA